rnacentral:rRNA from 1 species
UACACACUGCCCGUCACACCACGAGAGUUGAGUCUUCCAGAAGCUUGUUCAAUAAGAGCAAUCCAAGGAAGGAUCGAUGAUUGGGGUG